UUGUUUUGCUUUUGUUAUAUACAUUUUUCCUAACUUAAUUUGUGGACUAUAAAGCCGAAAACAAAAAAUAACCCCACAUGGAAAACAUUCAUAUCUGAUUUAUGGAUCAGGUAAGCCAAACCACUAAUAUUUUGUAAAUGCUUUUUCUAUAUUGAAAAAAGCAGAAAAGAUAUAGAAAGAGUAAUUCUGUAGAAUUUGGAGCAAAAGGAAAUCAGCUAUGUGUUCUUAUAUGACUACAAUGGAUAAAUCAGUUACAUAUUUAUCAAAAGCAUACAUUAGUGACAUAAAGUAAGAGUUAUAUAACCGUCCAUUAUGUUUUAACCAAUAUCAGAGCAGCAGAAAACUGGUCAUAUAUGUUAUAUGACCAAGAAAAACUUGGUAAAGAAUGAUUUGUAUUAUUGUGUGAUCUAAUAUUGUACAAUAGCAGGUGAGGAAGCAGGUUGCUGAGUAUGAGGAGGUUGUGGAAUAAGUGGUUCAGGUAUACAUAGAGAAUACAAAACCCUAAUUAGGGCCGGCUAAUGUUAAUUAGGACCGGGCCACUAUACUAAACAUAUUGACUAAUAGUCAUCAACAAACAUGUAACAGCGUCAGACAGAAACGAGAAAAAAAGAAAGAUAACAGAGAGAGUGAAAGAUGAGCAUACCUUUGGAGCAAGAACAAGCAUGGAUUUUAGAGUCAAUUCACG
rnacentral:lncRNA from 1 species